UAACCUACUAAAUAGCAGUACUAGCUUCGGCUGGUUUUCUGCUUCUUAGAGGGACUAUCUAUUUCAAGUAGAUGGAAGUUUGAGGCAAUAACAGGUCUGUGAUGCCCUUAGACGUUCUGGGCCGCACGCGCGCUACACUGACGGAGCCAGCGAGUUCUUUCCUUAACCGAGAGGUUCGGGUAAUCUUGUGAAACUCCGUCGUGCUGGGGAUAGAGCAUUGUAAUUAUUGCUCUUCAACGAGGAAUUCCUAGUAAGCGCAAGUCAUCAGCUUGCGUUGAUUACGUCCCUGCCCUUUGUACACACCGCCCGUCGCU
rnacentral:rRNA from 1 species